AUUUCACACCUUUUUCUGCUGUCUCUCUGUCAGUGACCAUCUUCACUUCCUGCAUUACGAAUAAACAAACAAACAAUUAUCUGCUUGUUGCAUGUACCAAUUCUCAAAUUAUCCCAAAACGUAUUUUCCAUAUGAACUAAUAAUAUGGAAAUUUAAUUGAAUAAUUUAAUUUCCAUAUUCAUUAAUAAUCAUUCAUUCUUAUUAAUACAGUACAUGUUUUCAUUAAUGACUGUGAGCAUGCUUCACUCCAGUGUCAUGUGCCAUAUUACUAACAGUGAUAAAAACAGUCAUUAGUUUUAAUAAGUUUUGUCUUUUCUGUAGGAAGAAGAGAAACUUCAACACACUCGAGAACAGACACAACACCUCCAUCAGAACCACCUCAGAGUAAACCAACAAACUCUCCACCUGCAUCAUCCUCAACAACACUGGAACAAGAUAAACAGCAAACACACAGCAGCCUCCCUCUAGUUUUCGGCAUUCUGGUGGUUUUACUGCUGGUGAUACCCGGAGUAGUGGCAUUUAUUUGUUGGAAACGCAAAGGAGGAAGAUGUGGAGAGAACGUGAUUACUGAAGGACGUCCGGACUGUAAGAGAAAGCAGAAGGAUCAGAUUGAACCUGGUGUUACUUACUCUACUGUAACCCACGUGAACACAGCCGGAGCAGCACGGGUCCAGAUCAACGCUGGAGACAAAACUGAAUAUGCCAGCAUUCUAACAAUCUAAUCCACAGUAAAUAUCUAGAAUAAUACUGAAUACAUGCAGUAUAUUAAAUACACACCAUGGGAAGCAUGAUAAACAUGUUACUGUGACUUUUUUUUAUUUGACCAUAAAUAGCAGAUUUAAUCAUAUUUGUGUGCUGAUGGAUAAUCCUGCAAAUUCUAUUUUUAAUGUUUGUGUCAUUUAUUAUCAUUUAUUAUUUUGUAUAAUUUGUUUUUUUUAUUUACAUUUAUGACAUUUAGCAGACGCCCUUAUCCAGAGCGACUUACAUUUAUCUCAUUUAAACAGCUGAUCAAUUGAAGGUUAAGGGCCUCGCCCAAGAGUCUAACAAUGGUAGCUUGGCAGUGCUGCGGCUUGAACUCCUGACCUUCUGAUCAGUAACCCAGAGACUUUAACCACUGAGACACCACUUAUAUGUUCUAGAAAUCUUUUGUCAUCACCCUCUUUUGCGUAAUACGACUGCCUUAGAAGUUCUUGUUUGUGACUGUUGUGGGAAAGUCUCUCUGGACUGAAUGUGUGUUUCUAAACUAGUUGUGGUGAAAUUGUUGUGAAAACGGUCCUUAUAGCAUGUUAAAUGGUGCAUGAUAGUGUGCUUGUUGAGUGUGGAGUAUCACACAGUAUUCUCUGUGCAUGGCAAAACUGUCAUUAACUUUGAGAAAGAGGAAGUAGCCAUUUUCCCAUCAGUCUCCACUGCCCUGACCACAGUCUCGUGGUACCCCUGACAUGCUGAGUGUCUCACAGUGGCUCUGAAGUACCAUGAGAACGCUAGUUAUGCAUGCAACUGUGGUUUUAUAAACUGCUAAUACUUGUCAGAGGCGUGUGUAUGACCUUGCAACAAAGUCAUAAAGUGACAUGAUUGUAAUUUAGCAUCCUGCAGAAUCUUGUAAAUAGGGACCUUAAAGGACUCAAGCACAUGUGAGGAGGGGAAUUGCUGUUACACCUGCUGCCGGUCCUUAAUAAUGUCUGCCACUUGUCAGAGUGGUAGUGAACCAGCCUCAUGCUGAUGAAUUGUGCAGCUUCUUCCACUGUGAGACCAAGUGCUGGAAAUAGGCAUUGUGCAUGAACCGCUGACAUGAACCAAUCCUGUGGUUGCAUGGCAUAGAUUACAUCUGACACCCUUAGCAUUCAGUGUUUAAGUAUGUGCAAAUCUCACUUUGCUGGAACAUAACAUCCUCUUUUCCAUAAAGAGAAGAAGAGAAGAAAACAUAUGGACUAUGGCUUAUAUACAGCAUGGUAUAGGGUUAAUUUAUUUAUUAAUUCAUCUUCAGUAACUGUUUUAUCCUGGUCAGCGUCGUCAUGGAUUCGGACUCUAUCCCAGCAACACUGGGCACAAGGUGGGAGAAUUCAGAUGGGACGCCAGUCCAUCUCAGAGCACCAUUCACACACAUUCACUCCCAGGGGCAAUCUAACAUAGUAAACCGGCAUGUUUUUAGACAGUGGGAGGAAACCGCACACACAAACACAAGGAGGACGCGCAAACCUCUGCACAGACAUUAACAUGGUUUCAUUUAAGGAUCUAUAAGGAUCUUGUUGACUACACAAUCAUGUCUACACUCUUUUAUUUUUUAAGUCUUCCAGGCAUCUCACCAGGUCUUAAACAUUUAAGGUCUAAAUGUUUUUUGUUUUCUUUACAUUAAGUUUCUCGUUGUUCUUAGGUUUGCUUAUGCACACACUUCUUAAAUAAUAUAAUAUUCUCAUCAUUUGAAAAUAUAUUAAAGCUUUUACUUGAAAUAUUUGUAAAAUUCCUGUACCUUGUUUGUAGCUUAUACAUUUUCAUACUAUUUGCAGUGAUAAAAAUAAAUAAAAAAAUUACAGUGGAGCAUGAUAUUUGAAAGUUUUAUUGUAGCACAAUCACAUCCCUAAUAUUUUCACAUAAAUAAACACAUUUCAAGCACAGAAUUUUGUCAGAAUCAUAACGGAUUAAAAUUAUUAAACCAACAGCCACGGAUUUCUGGCUCCAAUAAUUACUACACACCACCAGAUGUCGCUGCGGUCUAAGUUUUCAAUGCUCCAAAACAUCAGCUCAAUCAGGAAGAAGUAUCAAGAAUUUUUUUUAUUAUUAGUUCACCAUUUUGUGAAAUCUUAUUUAUACAUGGAAAAAGUUUGAUUGAAAUGUAACUUCUUUAAAGAUUUGUAACUAAUAUGCAAUUAUUUAAAACUCAUUUGUUAGUAGAGGAGGACCUUAUGAAAGUCAUUUUCUGCUUGCUGUAAAUAAAGGAUCAAAAUUGCUCUUAUAACAAACUAGGCUGAAUAACAUUAAUAUGAGACAAGCUGGGAGAGAAAACUAUGUUUUGAUUCAAUCAAACUUUUUAUCCCUCAGAUAAAUAAACAAUUUAGAGAUAAAUGUGGAGCAGAUUUUACCAUUAAAGAAUUGAACCACGCAGUUAACUGCCUUUGAAAAAUUGACAAAUCUCUUGGGCUUGAAAUACAAUCUGCCAACUUUUACAGAUAUUUCUGGAGCUCCUUAUGAGAACUUUAUUGUUCACACUUUUUAAGCCAGAAAAAAAAUGAAACAUUAGAAAAUAAUCACCCUAUAACUCUGUUAAACACAUAUAUACAUAAUACAUAAAAUGUAGACUCAUAUCUAUGCUUCUCAUUUAAAGAAAAAGGUCCGACACAGGUAAUCAGUGAGACACAAUCUGGCUUUAUGAGACUGAGAUCAAUACAUCAUAAUAUCCGUUUAGUACAAUAUCUUCCUGUUGUUAGUGGUGAGGUUGCAGACGAUGGGUUUGUUCUGUUUCUUGACUUUCACGAAGCUCCUGAUACAACAGAGCAUCAGUUUAUGGUUACAGCACUUACGCUAGAUUAUUGAAACUAUAUUAUAACGCAAAU